rnacentral:rRNA from 1 species
AUAGACCCGAAACCCGGUGAUCUAGCCAUGGGCAGGUUGAAGGUUGGGUAACACUAACUGGAGGACCGAACCGACUAAUGUUGAAAAAUUAGCGGAUGACUUGUGGCUGGGGGGGAAAGGCCAAUCAAACCGGGAGAUAGCUGGUUCUCCCCGAAAGCUAUUUAGGUAGCGCCUCGUGAAUUCAUCUCCGGGGGUAGAGCACUGUUUCGGCAAGGGGGUCAUCCCGACUUACCAACCCGAUGCAAACUGCGAAUACCGGAGAAUGUUAUCACGGGAGACACACGGCGGGUGCUAACGUCCGUCGUGAAGAGGGAAACAACCCAGACCGCCAGCUAAGGUCCCAAAGUCAUGGUUAAGUGGGAAACGAUGUGGGAAGGCCCAGACAGCCAGGAUGUUGGCUUAGAAGCAGCCAUCAUUUAAAGAAAGCGUAAUAGCUCACUGGUCGAGUCGGCCUGCGCGGAAGAUGUAACGGGGCUAA